UGGGGAAUUUUGGACAAUGGGGGAAACCCUGAUCCAGCCAUCCCGCGUGUGCGAAGAAGGCCUUCGGGUUGUAAAGCACUUUUGGCAGGAAAGAAACGUCGCGGGUUAAUACCUGGGGUAACUGACGGUACCUGCAGAAUAAGCACCGGCUAACUACGUGCCAGCAGCCGCGGUAAUACGUAGGGUGCAAGCGUUAAUCGGAAUUACUGGGCGUAAAGCGUGCGCAGGCGGUUCGGAAAGAAAGAUGUGAAAUCCCAGGGCUUAACCUUGGAACUGCAUUUUUAACUCCCGAGCUAGAGUGUGUCAGAGGGAGGUGGAAUUCCGCGUGUAGCAGUGAAAUGCGUAGAUAUGUGGAGGAACACCGAUGGCGAAGGCAGCCUCCUGGGAUAACACUGACGCUCAUGCACGAAAGCGUGGGGAGCAAACAGGAUUAGAUACCCUGGUAGUCCACGCCCUAAACGAUGUCAACUAGCUGUUGGGUUCUUC
rnacentral:rRNA from 1 species